rnacentral:rRNA from 1 species
CCUACGGGAGGCAGCAGUAGGGAAUAUUGGUCAAUGGGGGAAACCCUGAAGCAGCAACGCCGCGUGGAGGAUGAAGGUUUUCGGAUUGUAAAGCUCUUUUGAUAGAGAAGAAAAUGACGGUAUCUAACGAAUAAGCACCGGCUAACUCCGUGCCAGCAGCCGCGGUAAUACGGAGGGUGCAAGCGUUACUCGGAUUUACUGGGCGUAAAGAGCGCGUAGGCGGGAUAGCAAGUCAGAUGUGAAAUCCUAUGGCUUAACCAUAGAACUGCAUUUGAAACUGUUAUUCUAGAGUACAGGAGAGGUAGGUGGAAUUCUUGGUGUAGGGGUAAAAUGCGUAGAGAUCACGAGGAAUACUCAUGGCGAAGGCGACCUGCUAGAACGUAACUGACGCUGAUGCGCGAAAGCGUGGGGAGCAAACAGGAUUAGAUACCCUUGUAGUC